rnacentral:lncRNA from 1 species
ACUCAUUCAACAGCCUCACACCUCCUCUCUAUAUUCUCUCUCUCCUUUAUUUCAUCAGCCUCACACCCCUCUGUACUCUCUCUCUCUCNNNNNNNNNNNNNNNNNNNNACCUCCUCUCUCUCUCUCUCUCUCUCUCUCUCUCUCUCUCUCUCUCUCGCUUCUUCUUCUUCUUCUUCUUCCCUUCUCUCUCACGCUCUUCUCCUCCAUUUCAGAUCUCUAGGGUUUCGACCUAGAUUGCUAAACCGCAGCAGCAUUUUCAGCUCCUGAGUCGCCGGCGAGUUUACCGAGUCGUGAUGGCGGGGAAGAACGACUCGGUGUCCAUUCGGAUGUGGAAGUUGAGAAGACGGGGAUGGAUGAUGAGGCUCAUCAUCGGAUCGACCUCAAUUCGUCUGCGCUGUCAUCGUCGUCUUCGAAACAAUGAAAGCCGACGUGGAGGGUGAGGAGGUAGAGGCAAUGGUCGGUGGAGUCAUAGGGGCGAAGGCCGUAGAAGGGGAGGUGCUCCUCGGCGACGAGGCUGAUGAAGAUGGAGUCGGGAGGGAAGGUGGAGGCGCGCCGAGGAGAGGAGGCUUGGUGUUAGUGGAUUUGGAGCUGAGGAGCUCGGUGAGCCACUUGGAGGCAACGCCGUCGUGGUCGAUGAGGACGGUCAGGAUGCGCUUGGAGUCCACGUGGACGGUGAAGAGGUUGGGGACGUUGGCGGGGUAGGCGCGGAUGACCUCCGGCUGAUCGAUCUCCUCGAUUGAAACGUCGAGCACCAUUUUUGGGUCUGUGCGAGAAAAGUUUGAUUUUGCAGAGAGAGGAGACGAGAGAGUACAGUAGUACUGGUGUGGGUGUGGGAAUGGCGUGAACUCUUGUUAUGAAAUCCCUCAAAACUUGGGCAGGUGAAUAGCUUUGACUAGUUUUUUUCUCUAUUUUUAUGAGAUGAGAAUUUGAGAAAAGAGGAAGUGUGAAUAGGAAUGUUGACGAUGUUUAUUGGUCUAGUUGCUUUGUUUUCUGGGUCCUUUCGAACUUAAAAAGGUAUGUUUAAAAUGAUUAUUGACUGGCAGUAACUGAUUAUUGGGGGUUAAUAACUGAUUAUGUUCUGAUAUUUUUUCUUUUUCUGGUAUUAUUAAGCUGAAAUAAGUUGAUUAUUGGGGUUAGUAACACGAUUAUUAGGGGUCAGUAAUUGGUUACUGGGGGUCAGUAACUGGUUAUAGAGGGUCAGUAAAUGAUUACUAGGUGUCAGUAACUAGUUAUUGAGGGUCAAUAAUUGGUUAUUAGGGGUCAUUAACUGGUUAGUAACAUGCUAUUGAUGGUCAGUAACUAGUUACAGGGGAAAUUCCGGUGACCGGAGUCUGGCGGUCGGGGAAAUUCCGUUGACUGGAGUCCGACGGCCGGUAACCAGAGUCCGGUGAGAUUCCGGCAAAGUAUUCUCUUUUUCAUUUUCUCUCUCUAUGCAUGUUUAAGUGGUGAGGACAAAAUAGUCUUAAAAUAAUAUGGUUUGUUAAGACUUUAGUCAAGAUUUGUGCAUUUGGGCAUAAAGAUUUAUGCAUUUGGACAUAAAAAAUGUUACUUUAUAUUGAAAUGGGCUAAUGAAAAAGAUUGUCAUUGAAAUGGGGAAAUGAGGGGUUUAAAUUAAUACUAAAUGGAAAUUUUUCUUUUAUUAAAUUGAUUAUGUGUCUAUGUGACAUGACAUACCAUAUAAGAUUAAGGCCAUAAAUCUUAGACCUUCUUAAGGCCCUCUAGCACUAGCCAAAAACAAAUUUAUUGAAGAAUAUAGGUUUUAUGAGGUUCACAUAAGCCGUUUGAAACAUGUCUCCUCAACCAUUAAAAGUUUUUCAACACCUUUAAAAGUAACACUAUGGGUUACCAAAACCACACUAACCAGAAGCUAGAAUUUUGAACUCGAUUUUCAACUUUCAAGUGGAUCCUAUAAUUUCCAAAUACCCUAAUUAUUAAUUAAGGCAUCUAUUGAUAUAUUGGUCAAUCCUAUUCAAACACAAGAAAUCCUUGUGGAUCUAGGAAAGGAAGGAAAGGCAUCAAGAAGGAUACCUCAGCAGAACUGCUUGAAGUUAUGCAUGAUUAGCGGCUGUGAAAAGGUAAACACAGAGUCAACUGCUUGAUUAUGUACAAAGGUAACUGAUCUUUAUCUUAAUUUGAUUAGUUAUAACUUGAUUGAGGAAUACAUGGCUGUUUACAUUCAAGGUUAUAAUCUUUAUGAUAAAUGGUGUUUAUUGCUUGAUUUGGUAAUCAAUUGAUAUCUGAGUGUUAAUAACAGUGCUUAAUCAUAGAGAAAGAUAUGAUUAAGGUACAUGAUUGCUAAGUGCAAGAGUUAUGGAAAAAAUAGUUCUCUGAUUAUGUUUUUCCAAAUCGAUUCUUUGAUGAGCAUUGUUUGAGGGGGAGCAUUUCAUGCUCUAUAAGUAACAUCUGACAUGCUAUGCAAUAUGCACCUUUUUGUAGAUAUUGUUUAGACUUUGAUAUCUUAGUCUCUAAGUUGGAUUGUAUAUCAAUCAAUCUGCAAAUUGUGUGUGUGUGAUCAUAUGAUCUAAAAAGUUUCUCUCUUACUUGCAUUCAGGUUGCACUUAAGUUUGGUGAAGCUGAAGAGUGAACCAAGUGUGAAUUGCUGGUUGUGUUGAGAACCUGUUCGAUAGCUAUGAGAGGAGUGCAUCACUAGAUUGUGUGAAAGAAUCUAAGUUACUUAUACUGAUGUUUGUGUUAUAUCAGUAGGAGAAGUUCUCAGUUGUUUUUGUGUAGAACAAAUUGAUUAACUGAUCAUGAGUGUGUAGAUAGAAAUGAGUGAAUACUAGAAUGACUAGUUCCUUGUGUAGUUGUGUUGGAGAACUACCUAUCUUUGUAAACUCAAAUUAAAGAUUAGUGAGAUAAUCUUGUCUGUUGUUUUUUUCCUCCUUGAGGUUUUUCAACAGAUUUUUGAUAAUCCUCUUGUUGUCUGCAUUAUCAGUUUUUACAGCAUUUCUAUAUCUUUAGCAUCAUUUUCAUGAGAAGCAGCUGGAUUUAGGAAUAUUGAUGAAUGAGUCCUAUGAGCCAGUCUCCUGAGCAGUUCUGGACAAAUAAACAUGAUCGGCAUGUAUAAUAUAUUUUACACAGGCAUCACAUGACAGAGACAGAGUUGUGAUAUAUCGUUAUACACACAUAUAUACAGCCACAGGUGCGAUGAUGACAUAUAUAUUUAUUCGCAAUAUCUGAUCCAUUAUAUAUUUUUGUCUUUAAAACGCCCGUCAAGUGCAUGGCACGUACUAACAACACAAGUCCAG